rnacentral:rRNA from 1 species
UAGGGAAUCUUCCGCAAUGGACGCAAGUCUGACGGAGCAACGCCGCGUGAGUGAAGAAGGAUCUCGGUUCGUAAAACUCUGUUGUUAGAGAAGAACAGCGCAUAGAGUAACUGUUAUGCGUGUGACGGUAUCUAACCAGAAAGCCACGGCUAACUACGUGCCAGCAGCCGCGGUAAUACGUAGGUGGCAAGCGUUGUCCGGAUUUAUUGGGCGUAAAGCGAGCGCAGGCGGUCAAUUAAGUCUGAUGUGAAAGCCCCCGGCUCAACCGGGGAGAGUCAUUGGAAACUGGUUGACUUGAGUGCAGAAGAGGAGAGUGGAAUUGCAUGUGUAGCGGUGAGAUGGGUAGAUAUAUGGAGGAGCAGCAGUGGGGAAGGCGACUCUCUGGUCUGUAACUGACGCAGAGGCUCGAAAGCGUGGGUAGCAAACAGG